CUCACAGAUCGGUCCAAACGGUACGGUCUAGCAAAGUAAAGAUUUUUUGAAAUUAUUUUUUAAUAGAUCGCCUAGAACUUUAAGUAAAAUAAUUUUCCUUGCUUUAAGCAUACAAUCAAGAAUGGCGCGUGCAGUACUUUGCAUGGCCAUCGCUUGCAUAUUAGUGCAAUGCGCCCUCACUCAAAACUACGAUAAGGAGAAUCGCCGCCUUAUUCUGCAAAUUAAAGACCAAAAAACGACCAAUCAACAAUACUAUUCGUCAAAUUUUGAUACCAGUAAGUAGCAACAGUUUCAAUUUCAAUCAAUUCAAUUGCACCAAAUCAUACAUUCUUGCACACGUAGUAACAGAGAAAAAUUAAAAAAAAAAUUCAUAAAUUCAUAUUUUUAUACUACAUUAUAUUUUCUCUCUUUAUUUCAACACUAAAUAUUUCUACUUCUCUUACUCUUACAUCCUUAAUUUUUCAGCUGAUUUUUGCUUUAUUAAUUCUUUCUAAUUUAAAUUUCAAUAUCUUUGUUUUUCUUUUCUUCUUCCAACUCUCUUACUUCCUAUCUAUUAUCCUUUGUACUUUCCUUUACCCUCUCUCUCUCUCUCUCACACACACUCUCUUUGAUAAUUCUGCUUUAUGCGUUUCUAUUUCACUUCAACUAACCAGCUGGUUAGUUACACUCAUUUACUAUUUCACAUUCUUUCUUUUUCUCUUCCACUAUAUUUUUCAUACAAUUUCUCCCACUCACAUUAGCGUUUGCAAUUCACACCCAUAGUAGUUGUUUUGUUUGUAGCAUUUUAUACAAUCCAUAUAGUAUAAGUACAUUAACUAUAUAAUUCUUUUACAAUUUACGCUGCACUACGAGCCGUUUGGAAAGGGCUCAUUCGCCGCGCAGCCUUCGACGAACCGAGUCCUUUCAGCUUUUUGAAUUGCGCAGUUAGAUGAUACUUUCCACAAUUAGUUGGCAUAUUUUUUGCAGUAAAAUUUGUAGUUAGUAGAUAUUUAGUAAAUUUGAAAAAAAAAAAAUAAAUUUAGAACUGGCUUUGUACAUACAUUUAAUUCCUUUGCAAUUCAAAAUUUGUAUUCUUUUGAAAAAAAAAUUAAUAAAUAGAAGCAAUAACUAUUAAUUGAUUAACAUUAGCGCGCUGUAGCCUUAAUUAAAACACUACAAUAGCAACUAAAAAAAAAAAAAA